GGGGGCGAUCGGCUUCGACGGGGGCACCGGGACCCAUGUCGCGUGCCGAGUAUCCUGGCCUGCUCGUAAAUCCCAACCAGGAACACCCAACUGCGAACGACAACGCGGUUCCCUUCGCGCUCGCGGCCUUAGAGCCCCUGCGUGAACGUCCCUCUCCCGAGCCUGCCAGAGCUCGCUAGAGGGGCGUAACCGAUCUGGCUGGCCCCGCGCGGCGCGCUUCACGCGCGGGGUGAGACGACUGAGGCGCUGACCUCGCGAGGGCCCGUCCGUGGGCGCGAGCGAGGUGAGACUGUUCGCGGACUACGCACGUAGACGCAUGGGCGACGGGCUCUCGGACCUGGGUUCGAUUCCCAGCGCCUCCACGG
rnacentral:tmRNA from 1 species